rnacentral:rRNA from 1 species
AUGGAUUCAAAGGCACAUCACAACCGAGUGAAUGAUGACAAGUACUUGCAUCAGGCGCAUCAAGAGAUGGACAAGAAUAUGCAGCGGGAGCGAGAGGUGAUGGACAAGAAUCUGAAGCAGGAGCGGGCAACCGUGGACCGCAUGAGGAAGGAGGAGCGUGCAGCCAUGGAACAGAUGAUGAAAGAGGAGCUUGCAGCCAUGGAUCAGAGGUUGAAGCAUUUCCAUGACGAUAUGGACCUAAAGUUGAAGCAGGAGCGCAAGAACUUGGAUCGCGCUAUGCAGCUCGAGCGUGGCAGGAUGGAAUUCAAUAUCAUGCAGGCGCGUGCGAACAUGGACCUUAUGUUGAAGCAGGAGCGUAAUGACAUGAAUCACAAGUCCAAAAUGGAGGAGAUCCGCAUGGAAGGGAAUAUAAUGCAAGACCGUGUUCUACAACUCGAGCGUGGUAAGAUGGGCUUCAAUAACAUCCAGACGCGUGUGGGCAUGGACCUUAACUUACCACAUGACCGCAAUGAUCUGGAUUACAAGGCCAAGAUGGAGGAGACCCGCAUGGAAGGAAAUACGAUACAGGACCAUGCUAAUACACGCCUGAAGCCUCAGCAGGAUGACAAGGCCAAGAUGGAGGAGAUCCGCAUGGAAGGGGGUAUGAUGCAAGACCAUGCUAGUACAGGCACGAAGCAUGCUCAGGAAAAACAAGACAUCCCUACACCAGAGCAAUCUGUCUCAUCAGUACCUCUACAGGUUGAACAAGAGAUCCGUACACCAGAGCAAUCUGUCUCAUCCUACGUAGUUGUAAUGCAAUUUAUUGUUCAUGUGGACGAAGAACUUUCUCAUGUUCCUGAAGCAUACCACAACAAGAAACCUGGUAUGACGACAGUACUUGAACCUGCCAAGGUGGACUGGCAUAUAAUGGUGAAAAAUUUGCGUUACCAUGGGUACAAAGGGGAAGCAGAUUUGUACUACAUCAAGCCUGGGUGCGUACCACCAGAAGGAAUGAAUUGUGCAUUCCCAGAUUAUAGCGACGAUGACAUGUCUGAACAGGACAUGUCCGAAGAAGACAUAUAUGCAUGUGGCUACAUGGAUAUCGGCGAGAGGGACAUGGGCGAAUAUGGGUCAUCGCCCAAAAGGAAGAAACUUGCAGAUAACAAUACGAAGAAAGCAUUGGAUUUCAGCAGCUGUGAUGAGCCUCUUCAGUAG